rnacentral:rRNA from 1 species
GAAACCGGUGCUAAUACCGAAUAGUUUUUUGCCCCUCCUGGGGCGAAACGGAAAGACGGUUUCGGCUGUCACUGCAGGAUGGGCCCGCGGCGCAUUAGCUAGUUGGUGGGGUAAUGGCCCACCAAGGCGACGAUGCGUAGCCGACCUGAGAGGGUGAUCGGCCACACUGGGACUGAGACACGGCCCACACUCCUACGGGAGGCAGCAGUAGGGAAUCUUCCGCAAUGGACGCAAGUCUGACGGAGCAACGCCGCGUGAGUGACGAAGGUUUUCGGAUCGUAAAACUCUGUUGUGAGGGAAGAACAAGUACCAACUAACUACUGGUACCUUGACGGUACCUCACCAGAAAGCCACGGCUAACUACGUGCCAGCAGCCGCGGCAAUACGUAGGUGGCAAGCGUU